rnacentral:lncRNA from 1 species
GGGCCCGUGACAACCGCCGCGAGGCCUCGACAGACAUUCUUCACCUCGAAUGCCGAUUGAAACCCUGCAAGGCUUAGCAUCAACUUCCGCAUCUCCCCGGUGAGCAACAGUUAUUAAAUCUCGCAUUUCAAAAAAAUCAUAAGUCAUUUUCAAAUAAGAACAAUAGAAUAUUAUUUUCUGGCUCAUAGGGGCAUUUUCGUAAUUUUUCUUCAAAAAUCUCAAAACUUGCUAAAAAU